rnacentral:lncRNA from 1 species
UGUGAAGAGGUCCGACGAUGUCCAUGGCCCAGCGCAUGAAGGGAUACGGUGACGUAAUGGAGGAAAGAACUUCUGCUGGUUGUCGGUUGGUUGGAGCAUGCCUUUGGCAUUUUCGUGCGAAUUUCUCACAAUCUCUGAUCAUCGUUGGCCAGUAGUAUCCAUGGCGUUUGAUUUCACUGCUAGUGACCUUCCACCAGAAUGGUUUCCGCAGGACCCAUAAUGAACUUCCUCCAUAACGUUUCUCGCCUUCUCUCAUUCCAGACACGUCAUGAGUGGUCCGAAAAAUCUCCAUUUGUAAAUUUUGCCGU